UCCUCCAAGGUGAAAUGUUUAAUGUGUC
rnacentral:piRNA from 1 species